UUUGGAAUACUUGGCUUGCCCUGAAGAUAUUGAUGUCAUCGUCUAUUAUUUAGAAAAUAAACGAGAGAUUAAUUUCAUUGCAGCAUUAAUUAUUAUUAUUAAUAAUGAUUAUUCAGACAAUCUUUUUCAGCGCAUAUUAGUGUAUGUUGCACGUAUUUUAAACACUAACUUAGUUGAAGUGAAUAACACAGAAGGUUUAUUUAAAAUACAUCAAAUAAAAGAGAGUGACAUUCUGAUAAAGAAGAUUAACUUAUAUGACUACAUAUUAGACCAGAUAAUGAUUCGGAAGAGUCAAAUCAAAAGACAAAAACAUUAUUAUGGAAGAUUUUUUGUAUAAUCUGUGGUUGUAAAAAAAUGUCAUCUUUGCAUACGUGGACAUUUUUCAUAUGAGUAAUAUUUUAUGUUUUAUAUAUACUAUUUCUUAUACUGCUUUAAUUAUUGUUUAUAAUUAUUAUUUAGAUGUAUUACUAUUCGAUGCCACUGUACAUUUACAAAACUUUAUUUAGUAAGAUAUGACCU